rnacentral:piRNA from 1 species
UAUCAUAUGUGAGACAAGAUGGUGGUGGC